rnacentral:tRNA from 1 species
GGCUCGUUGGUCUAGGGGUAUGAUUCUCGCUUAGGGUGCGAGAGGUCCCGGGUUCAAAUCCCCGGCCCGAGCCC